rnacentral:lncRNA from 1 species
AUGAAUCACUCCUCACAGAAAGGAGUCACAUGCCUGUCUUGGGAAAUUUGCAGCCUCACGCUCACUCCCAGAGGGACAAAGGAUAAUGACUUCAUGUCGCUGGCUGCUCACUCACUAUGCUCCUCAAGCACAGGUUUUCUUUUGAAGGAAAAGCUGCCUCGUCUUUUUAAAGGACAUCACAAGACUCUUGGUGACACGAUUCAGCUCUGGCAUCCGCCACAAAGACAUUUGUGUGUCCUUCUGGGGCUUGGAGCCAGGCUUCCAGCCAGCACAAACUUUCUGCCCGUCUUCCACAUGAAGGGCAGAGCUCCUGCUUCUGCCAGGAAUGAAGAUGGCCACUGCUGCUGCCCCAAGCCUCCACAGCAGCUAGACAUCUGGGCUGGUUCCACACCUUGAACAAAAGGAGUGUAGCACAAGGAGCAAACAAGAUGGAUCUCCCACAAGCCUCUCUACACCCUCCUGUAUAUGAGAACAUACUGGCAUCCUGACAGUGUGUUCACCCUGGAAGUAAAUCCUUGGCAUUCAUUCGCACAUCUGCCGAGACUGGAAACUUCAGACCACUGAGAGAUGGACUCCUGGCUGCUGCGGAAGACAUGCUGGACCUGCAGAUGGGCAGACAGGUGGGAAGGGUGUGCACAGUGAGCUAGGCUGGUGGGGGACUGGGAGUUUGGCCCCUGCUCUGAUGACUAAGCCUCUCUGUUCCCCAUCUUUAUCACAGGCUGGAAAGAAGGUCCCAGUCCACAACUCUGUACCAAAGACACACAGUUUCAUUUUAAAACAACUCACUAAGCUCUAGUUUAGGCUUCUAUUGCUUUUAGGAUGCUGGAAACUCUGUCUAAAUCAUUUCCUCUUUGCCUGGGAAAGUAUUGUUGCCAAGCAGUGGGGGGUGGGGGGGGUCAUUGGCCAUUGGCUGUCACUAUAUUCAGAUUGUCCCAGGGUAGUGUGUCCCGUGUUAUAGAUUGCCUGUGGGGGUGUAUACAGAAGGACUGGAGUAGGAUCUUGGACAUACUACAGAGCCCUUUGCUCCCUGUGCCUUCUUCCAUGUGGGCCUCAGGGGAAGCAGGGUGAGGUUGCUUCAGAUUGCGAAUUUCACAAACUCCUUUAGGGUACCAUGGUCUCCCUGGAGUAUUCUAGAAAUCAGGCACAUGUCAGGUCUCCUAUCGGGACAGCUCUGGAGGAACCUCCUAACCAGCGUCUUCCCCUUGCAUCCGUCUUUUGCGUUUGCCUCACACUUUCCACUAGACUGCUCUUUCGAUAGACCAACUAACCUCACUGAGGGUGAAAUCCCAGCACUUAAGAGGCUAAGGCAGGGAGACGGUGAGCUUGAAGCCAGUCAGGACUAAACAAAGAGAUCCUCCCUCCCCAGCAACCUUGAAAGCUGGUCGUGGUGGCAUAAGUCAGCAAUUCUAGUCCUCGGCAAAUGGACUAUUAGGAAUUCAUGUUCAUUCUUGGCUACAUAAGGAGUUCAAGGGUAGUCUUGGCUACAUAAGGGGGCCAUCUCUUUUCCCUCUCCUCAUUAAAAACCAAAAGUAAUCCUGAAUGUAAGAGGAGCAGACAGGAAACUCGCUCAAUUCCAGAACUAUAGAGCUAGAGCGCCCCCCCCCCAACUCCCGUGGAUAGGUCUAGAAAUAUUUCUACUGAAGCUACAGGUGGUGGCCUGGGGCUGUCAUCAGCACAGGGAGCUUGGGUGAGGCGUGUUGAGCAUCAUGGAAAUGGAGUUAGCAAGCUCUUCUUGCCAAGGUUUUAGGAUCUUGGUGGUGGAUUUAUUACACCAAAGAUAGGAAAUUUCCGUGGAUGCUGACUCUCCAUUGGCAAGAUUCCCGUCUUCACUGAGAAAUAAGGAGUGAGCAAAUGAAUUCAAAUGCAUGCCAUUGGGUUGCACGAACUGUCAUCAGCCGCUAUGCUCCUAACCCCUGUUCACUAAGGGUGCCGUUCAACAGAAUCAUGAAAGCUCUGUAUGUUUACUUAGACAUGAUGUACUGGAAAUCACGAUAAACGAAACACUUAAAACUCAACAAACGAAUAGAAUUCAGAUAACUCGUAUCUGUGUUUGGCUGGGAAGGCAGCCAAGUGAUAAUGUGUUUGGGAUUAAUUUUCUUUAAGGGAAAACAAAUUAAUUACUCAGUAAAUAUAGUUUGCUAGACAAGUUCUCUCAAAACUUGGGAGGAAAAAACUGAUAAAAAAUGCUCAUUAAUGAUUCAGACAAAGUUUUUUUUUGUUUGUUUAAAAGUCGCCUACUUUACCUCAAGAGGCAAAUAUUUGCUUUUAUGUGUCAGCCUUAAAAUAUUGAUAUAAUUGAAUAAAGAUCAGGCUGACAGUUAAUCA